AAUCAAUACGGAACACAGCUCUUGUUCUAUUCUCUUCUCUCUCGCGCGGCUCACUCCACUGUUGGCAAAGAUGGAGUUCGCGAACCUUGAAGGUCUUCGUCAGGACGCUUCUUAUUUGUCUUUUCAUAUUUAAUUUCGCUCACUAAUCUUCUCAGAUGAGGCAACUCAAAGCACAAGUUGAUGUCGUAGCCAAAGCAGACGGGUAUGCUUAAUUAUUUCUAACCACCUCAUCAAAUUUCAGCUUCUCGACAUAAAGUUUUAAAAAACUAUUGUUUCUUUUGUAAUUUUUUUAGAUGGUUGAAUACUAAGUAAUCGCUGCUGUGAGGUAGCUAAUCACCAAACAGAGAGUUUUUACCCUGAUUUCCUUUUUAAAGGUGGAAAAUUAAGCAAUAAAUUUAUUAUUAAUUAUUAUAAAUACACUUUUAGGGUGAUUUAGGUUGCUAACUUUUCCAUUGAAUGUUUAAGAGCACGGGGCAACUUUACCGUAGGUGCUUUGAAAGAUUUCAAGUAUUGCCUGCCAGUAUAACUUUUUCUUCUUGAAUCUGCAAUGGUGUGCAAAUAAACAUCUGCAAUCGCGGAAGGGACUGCAGCAAAAAGGAUGGAGCAAGGCUUGAGGUCAGGAAGGAUCAGGAAUCCGAUAGUGAGGUUUAAUGUUAUGUCAAAGAACAAAUCAAAAGAGGACUCCCAUAUAGAGAAUAUGGAUCAAAAUCAUUCUAUACCUCAUCUUAAAUACCGUCUAUUUUCAUAACACACCAAUAACUUUCCAAGUGUCAUUAGCUAAUAUUGACAUAUCUCUAUCACUUGGCAUUAUUUACCAACACCUUUGAAAUAUUGGGCACUUUGUUCUGAUUCCAUCAAAUCCCAUAUGACCACUAUACUUGAAGUGGUAAGACCCAAAUGUAAAGUGUAAGUAUCAUGAUGGUGAGAUCCUAUGACAAUCAAUUGAGAAUUACAAGAAGUUGAAGCAUCAAAGCCAAAAGUGGGUAGGAUGGGGCAUGAGGAUGGAAGAUGCACCAGAUGAAUGCACAAGCCACAUAUAUUUGUUGGAGGGGGUUGAUAUGAAAUAGAAGUGUUACAUUGUCAACUCUUUUAUUAUUGAACUUUGCCGAUUCAUAUUUUUGUUGAAAAAAACAUCGAAACCUUGGAAUUAUUAAAUAUGUUUUCCAUGUAUUUUAAUUCUGUCUUUUAAUAGAAUAUGCUUUUUUUUUUGUUUCAUUGUAA